AGCGAACGCUGGCGGCAGGCUUAACACAUGCAAGUCGAGCGGGCGUAGCAAUACGUCAGCGGCAGACGGGUGAGUAACGCGUGGGAACAUACCUUUUGGUUCGGAACAACACAGGGAAACUUGUGCUAAUACCGGAUAAGCCCUUACGGGGAAAGAUUUAUCGCCGAAAGAUUGGCCCGCGUCUGAUUAGCUAGUUGGUGAGGUAAUGGCUCACCAAGGCGACGAUCAGUAGCUGGUCUGAGAGGAUGAUCAGCCACAUUGGGACUGAGACACGGCCCAAACUCCUACGGGAGGCAGCAGUGGGGAAUAUUGGACAAUGGGCGCAAGCCUGAUCCAGCCAUGCCGCGUGAGUGAUGAAGGCCUU
rnacentral:rRNA from 1 species